AUUGAACGCUGGCGGCAGGCUUAACACAUGCAAGUCGAGCGGGGUGAUGGUGCUUGCACUAUCACUUAGCGGCGGACGGGUGAGUAAUGCUUAGGAAUCUGCCUAUUAGUGGGGGACAACAUCUCGAAAGGGAUGCUAAUACCGCAUACGUCCUACGGGAGAAAGCAGGGGAUCACUUGUGACCUUGCGCUAAUAGAUGAGCCUAAGUCGGAUUAGCUAGUUGGUGGGGUAAAGGCCUACCAAGGCGACGAUCUGUAGCGGGUCUGAGAGGAUGAUCGGCCACACUGGGACUGAGAAACGGCCCAGACUCCUACGGGAGGCAGCAGUGGGGAAUAUUGGACAAUGGGGGGAACCCUGAUCCAGCCAUGCCGCGUGUGUGAAGAAGGCCUUAUGGUUGUAAAGCACUUUAAGCGAGGAGGAGGCUCUUUUGGUUAAUACCCAAGAUGAGUGGACGUUACUCGCGGAAUAAGCACCGGCUAACUCUGUGCCAGCCGCCGCAGUAA
rnacentral:rRNA from 1 species